UGUUCCAUUCUUCUCAUCACGCGGGGGCAAAAUUAAGAAUAGGCAGCAUUGGCGGAAGGUGGCACCCUGUCAAGAGAAGAACAAGGAGACAAAAAAGAAAUCAAUUAAUUCGAGAGAACUAAGUUCCAGAGUUCUUCUCUUCAUGGGUUUUGGCUUGUGCAUUGCUGAAAUCAGGGUAAUAAUUCUCCAACUCAAGUUGACCCAGAAUUUCUUUUGUUUUGGAAACAUAUGAAGCAUGUCCUUCAAUUGUUUGGGUAACAUCAACAUUCUCAAUCCCAAGAAUAUCAACAGGUUGAAUCCCUGCUAAUCCCUGAGAAAGUAAAUUGGCGCGGAAAGCAACUCCAAGCGUCCAAUCAUUUGUAGAAUAAACAUUGAUAAUUCUACCAGCCACAAUCUUCCUGACAUCCUCCCAUUUUUCAUCCUUUAUUGAAACUGGUGCUCCAAGAAGAACAACUCUUUCUACAAUUCCAGCAUGAUCUCCUUCUGUUUCAGCCAAACACUGGAGACAUUUGAA
rnacentral:misc_RNA from 1 species